rnacentral:piRNA from 1 species
UGAGAACAGAGCAGAGUAAAAUGUU